AACGAACGCUGGCGGCAGGCUUAACACAUGCAAGUCGAACGCAUGCCUUCGGGCAUGAGUGGCAGACGGGUGAGUAACGCGUGGGAACCUACCCCUUGGUACGGGAUAGCUCCGGGAAACUGGAGAUAAUACCGUAUGUGUCCUGAGGGACAAAGAUUCAUCGCCAAGGGAUGGGCCCGCGUCGGAUUAGCUAGUUGGUGGGGUAACGGCCUACCAAGGCGACGAUCCGUAGCUGGUCUAAGAGGAUGAUCAGCCACAUUGGGACUGAGACACGGCCCAAACUCCUACGGGAGGCAGCAGCGGGGAAUAUUGGACAAUGGGCGCAAGCCUGAUCCAGCCAUGCCGCGUGAGUGAUGAAGGCCCUAGGGUUGUAAAGCUCUUUCACCGGUGACGAUAAUGACGGUAACCGGAGAAGAAGCCCCGGCUAACUUCGUG
rnacentral:rRNA from 1 species